rnacentral:rRNA from 1 species
UGAGCGGCGGACGGGUGAGUAACGCGUGGGUAACCUGCCUCAUACAGGGGGAUAACAGUUGGAAACGGCUGCUAAUACCGCAUAAGCGCACAGUACCGCAUGGUACGGUGUGAAAAACUCCGGUGGUAUGAGAUGGACCCGCGUCUGAUUAGGUAGUUGGUGGGGUAACGGCCUACCAAGCCGACGAUCAGUAGCCGACCUGAGAGGGUGACCGGCCACAUUGGGACUGAGACACGGCCCAA